UUUCAGAUCAAUUUGGUGAUGACUGGACUUCUGAUACUGGAGGGGUAGGGACUAGCAGCUUCGGAGGUGGAGGGGAUGGUGCUGGAGGCUUUUAUGGAUCCUCAUUUCUUGGUGGCGUUCCUUGGGUUACUGCUCCUGUAGGAGGAGCCCUUUCUCUCGAUUCUCAGAGAUGGCUGCCAUCCAAGUCUUUCCCUGACUUCAGUGGCUUGUAUACCUACAGCGUGCCACUGGGCAUGGUCGCAGCACCUCCCAUAUUUCCUUCAUCGUACAUCGUCCAGUCUGGGAAUGGCUACCAGCGGGGAAGAGAAGCCCUUUCUUUCUCUAAAUACUCUGAUGAUAUAGUCGUUCCUUUUCCUCUGACACAGUAUCUAGAGUUUCCCUGAGACUGAGUUUCAAGAGCCGUGGAUCUGAGGUGAUGCUGACCCUCAGCUGUGCAAGAACUGAUGUCUUCAAACAUUAAACAAAAGAAAAAUUGCAUUGACUGUCAAUCAUCUUGGUUUUAGAUGUUGCAGUGUGCUGCCAACUCUACGGACCGUGAACCAAAUCUUCUAAAUACAAUAAUGUUCACUGAAUAAUGGGUAUCAUGGCCUGUAAAUAAAUGCAGCAGGAUAACUGGGUGCCAAACUUCUACUGCUAGUGAGCUGAAAAUACAUUCCUGUGUCUAAGCCGCUCCCCAAGUAACACAAAAACAUUGCUGGCAUGAGUAAACCCAUCAUAUGUUCCUACAUCAGGUUUCUUACAACUGUGUAUUGAACAGUAAGAAGAAAGUCGAGUUAGUUUUGUUCACCAUUUUUUUUCUGAUUUGGUGAACAUGAAUUUCCUGAAUAACCCAUAACUAUCUUGCUGGCUGACGAACCUUGCCAGCCCGCUCUCUGCAACCACAACACUCAAGUUUGAGCUGAGCUAACAUUAGCUGGUUUUGUUGAUGCUGUAAGGCCUCAGAUGUGCAACCGUAAAUGUCCUAUGAAUUUUUAGCACAACAUUGACAUAGCUGUAGGAUUUAGAUAUACCGAUAUGAGGUAUAUUUUCAAUGCAAAGUCAGUGCUAUAUGUUGGUUUUUGAAACAUAAUCUAAAUUAAGUUUAAGUGUUCAUUAAAACAUAAGAAUUGUACGUUCAGAAUCAUAGGUCAUAUCUAUGGAGGCUUGUUUCCUGCACUGGGAAAAAACAAAAGUGUAAGUCAGAAAUGUUUUUUAAAAAUAGCUUUUAUGUUAUCUUAGAUUUUCAAUUUAUUCCAAUAUUUCAUUUUUAAGUCAAAGUUCCACAAUACUAACCUGAAGAUUUUGACAUAUUGACUGUUUGAAAAAAGAAAAGAAAAAGCAGGCAGUAUAUAAACAAUAUAAGAUUAGGUUGACAACUUGUUCCCCUUGGAUGGUUACGCUCAUUUGCUCCUAACUGUUCAGUAGAUAGGUAAAACACUUCCAAGUUGCAAGCUAAAUGCAGGUUUUACCAGGUGUGGUUAAUCACUGUAAUUGCAACUGCACCAAUAUAAAGCGAACAGCAACCACACACCAGUUAAAGCACAAACCUGCAGCGCCCUCAUGUUUUUCAUCCCGACUUGCUGUAGAUGACUCGUGCUGCUUUUUGAGUUAGACAUGGGGCUCAAGCUUGUUUUGAAAGACUUGUUUGUUUUUUCACAGGGUUUCCUGCAUUUGUUUCCUGCUUUUCAGCAGUGGAUCUUGUUUCUCUGUAACAAUGAAAGCUUUUCCUGUUGUACAUGUUUCUGAGAGAUGGAGCGCCACACUUUCAGCGCCAUGCUGGACCCUGGUGUGCUGGGAUUGGCUGCUCGGUGUCUGUCAGUCAGAACAACAAACGUGGUGAAAUCUCUGCAGCGAUUUCUUCUCUGAGUUCAUGUUUUCAGGAUCAGUGAGAGACACUCCAGAGGACACCUGCAAGCUGCCUCGGAUCACCCAAACUUCCUUUCUCAGGGCUCUCUGUGACCUUCAUCCUUGACUCUGAAUGCUAAUCAGCUCUGACCUCUCCAUCUGGAUCCACUCAACAUCACAGCGCUCCACCUGUUCCACAUCUCCACCCAGGGACAUUUUUGGAGGUGACAUUGAAGCCAGACUUGAGUUUGGUUGUUGAAUUUCCUUUUUUCUUUUUUGACUGUUGAUGAAAAUUUGCAUUUCCCCCUCAAAUCUCAGUAUUUUGGAAGCGUGGUGAUGCUGCUGCCUUCACCUUUGUCCUACAUUUAACAUUAAAGUCGCGGACUUGUCGGGUUCCUGUGCAGUAAAACAACAGUCUGGCUCUCCCUCACCUUAACACAGUGAGGAAGAUUUAAAUGAAAUACUGACAUUAAUCUUGAACUGAUCCAAAGCUUCAAACAGCAACAUGACAGUAACUUUAAAGUGCAAUUAUUGUGCUCAAUUUCAUUCUUGGACUAUGCUAAAGGAGCUUUGCAUGAUCGCGGUUUGUAAUAAUCCUUUAUCUCACAGUUCCUGCUCCGUCUGCAACGAGCUGUUAGAAAAGGUUUUCCGUCUCUGUGAGUCUGCAGAGCUUUGCCUCAGCUCACCGACAACCAGCAGCCCAAAGCUUUCCAGCAAACUCCAUCGUGGAAACGCUCAUCUGGCUUUUGUUCAGCUUCACAUUCAAUUUGCAUGUACAAACUCCAACAGCCUGCAAUUACCUGAAGGGCCAAUUAGAUGCCAAAAUUAAUGAUGUAAUUGUUAUUAAUGAUCUGUCCUCCAUCUUUACCAUAUCAAAGGGAGGUUCAGUCAGUGGGUCUGAACACUCACAUCAAACAGCUUUCAAUCUGUGGGCAUCAAGUACAAGUCAGGGCUUAGGUUUAAAUUCAAACCACCAUCGAUAUCUGUGAGUUUAAGGUCAUUUGUAUUACAUCACACAACUUUAUUAGUUUAUGUGUGAUGAUGUGUGCCAUCCAGACAGUGUCACUAACGAGAGCAGAGAACAAUCAGGACGGAUUUUCCCCUCAUUCCCGACAUUCACCCUGUUAGCUUGGUGCCAUUUAAAGUCUCUGACAGACACUCCUGACGUUCCUGAGAUAUUUAACCUCAUUUGUGUCUGUUAUUAAGUGCACAGUAUUGUUGUUCAGCAGCUGCAGAUUCAAACAAAGAUGAAGGAUUCUUGAGCAAAGAAUCUUUGAUUAAAUUGAUCUGCUAAAGGAAAGAAGUACCUUUAAAGAGUUAUCGGUUUAACAGUGAGAGGAAAAGCCUGUGAGCGGUGCUGUAAACACAAUUUUACAUUUUACUAUAAACUGAAAACUCGGUGACAGAAAAAUCUUGUUUUUACAGUGCUGACGUAAAGGAUGAAUUAUUUUAAAGAUUGUUUAUGACUGUUGGGUGUUUUUUUUUUUUUUUUUUUUUUUUUUUUUUUUUGUUUUUUAAUUUAUUUAUUUAUUUUU